rnacentral:rRNA from 1 species
GAUGAACGCUGGCGGCGUGCUUAACACAUGCAAGUCGAACGGAAAGGCCCAAGCUUGCUUGGGUACUCGAGUGGCGAACGGGUGAGUAACACGUGGGUGAUCUGCCCUGCACUUCGGGAUAAGCCUGGGCAACUGGGUCUAAUACCGGAUAGGACCACAUUUUGGAUGGUGUGGUGGAAAGUUUUUCGGUGUGGGAUGAGCUCGCGGCCUAUCAGCUUGUUGGUGGGGUAAUGGCCUACCAAGGCGUCGACGGGUAGCCGGCCUGAGAGGGUGUACGGCCACAGUGGGACGGAGAUACGGCCCAGGCUCCUACGGGAGGCAGCAGUGAGGAAUAUUGAGCAAUGGGCGCAAGCCUGAGGCAGCGACGCCGCGUGGGGGAUGACGGACUUCGGGUUGUAAACGCCUUUCGCUAGGGACGAAGCGUUUUUGUGACGGUACCUGGAGAAGAAGCACCGGCUAACUACGUG